CUUGACCUCGGAUCAGGUAGGGAUACCCGCUGAAC
rnacentral:rRNA from 1 species